AAACAAAUUAGCCAAUCCUCUCUUGCUCUCGGUCUGCUUCCUCUGCUAAGGUUACUGUGUACAGGUUGCUCGAGGCUUGCUUGCACUAGGAGAGUACUUCCAACGCCUUGGAGCUUUUAGUUCAAUUUGGGCCACCCAUCCUCAUGACACUGCCUAAUCUUAUACC